rnacentral:lncRNA from 1 species
UUGAUUACUGAUAUUGUAUUCAAAGCUUUCCAUAGAUGCGGAUAGGCCUCCCAUACUUCCACUGAAAGAGGACACGCUGGAGGCUCAUCUGUUCUCCAUUUAUUUUGAAUUUUGCUGAACCAACACACAGACGUCACUAUUAUAAAUAACAGUACUGCUCUUCUUUGUGUUUUUUUUUUUGUAUUAUUUUGGAAAGAAACCUGUCUGUUUUUACUUGCUUACAUCCUUCUAUGUACCCUUGUUGACUACCUCCAUCUUUCCAAAGGCUCUAAGGCAUUCAUAAAGGCCUCUUUUUCAAAGAAAUAUUACUAUUAAUACUACUCAUUGUAUGUGUCUAAAUCCAAAGAUAUUGUAUCAAGCAAAUGUGCAUUUUAUUUCUGUAUUCAGGUUGAAUAAAUUAUUGAAAUAAAUCUUCUACAUUAUAGAUGUUGUUCUAUUGAAGUCUUAUAUUUGUUCUAAGAACAUUGACUGUAUUAUAAAAUAGUAAUUAGAACUCUCAGAAGAAGAUGUUGCUAUUAUAAUAAUGGUUUUUGCCCUUAAAUGUAAUGUACUACAUUACUGUGAAUUAUAUACUCUAUUUAUAAUUUAAAUUUCAAAUGGAAUGUCUUGUUACAAGAAAUAUGAAAUCAAGUUGAAGAAGUUUUUAGUUAUAGAAUUUGGAUGAAGCUGGAGUUUGAUGACGUUUAUUUUAUUAUUUGUAUUGCAUUCAAUUAUAGUUCUUAUACUUUUUAAUAAUUAAAUAUAUUUCUAAAUUAUAAUA